UUAACAGGGUUGUUAAUGUGUAGCAGCUGAGGAAAGGCGCACCAGUUAUAAUAUGUAGUCUGGUAGGAAGAACAAUGUUGCUCUCCACCCACUUUGUUCAUCUCCUAAUCCAUGAAAACUAUGAAUCUGUUACUUUAGAUGGUGAAAGGGAUUUUACAGAGGUGAUUAAAUGAAGAACAUUGAAAUGAGAGGAUUAUACUAGCAUAUCCAGGUGGGACAAAUCUAGUCACCCUAGUCCUUAAAAGCAGAGAAACGUUGCCAGCUGUGGUCAAAGAGCGCUAUGUCGAUGGAAGAGUUACUGGGAUGCAGCCUGAACAUGGAAAGGGGCCGUGGGUCGAGGAGUGUGGGCAGCCUGCAGAAGCUGAGAGCUGGAAAAUGUGGGGAAUGGAGUAUUGGAGGGAAUGACUGUGGAUGUUGAGAAGCUCAGGAAAGGAGAUUUUUGCAGAAAUGAGAGACGGGGUUUCACCAUGUUGGCCAGGAUGGUCUCGAUCUCUUGACCUCGUGAUCCGCCUGCCUCAGCCUCCCAAAGGUAUUUGUCUUUCUGUGACUGGUUUAUUA